GACGAACGCUGGCGGCGUGCUUAACACAUGCAAGUCGAACGGAAAGUCCCUGCUUUGGUGGGGUGCUCGGGUGGCGAACGGGUGAGUAACACGUGAGUAACCUGCCCUUGACUGUGGGAUAACUUAAGGAAACUGGGGCUAAUACCGGAUAGGAGCUCCUGCUGCAUGGUGGGGGUGGGACAGUUUCGGUGGUUGGGGAUGGACUCGCGGCGUAUCAGCUUGUUGGUUGGGUAGUGUCUUACCAAGGCUUUGACGGGUAGCCGGGCUGAGAGGGUGAGAGGCCACAUUGGGACUGAGCUACGGCCCAGACUACUACGGGAGGCAGCAGAGGGGAAGAGUGCCCAAUGGGCGGAAGCAUGAUGUAGCAACGCCGCGCGCGGGAAGACGGGCUGCGGGUAGUAAACCGCUUUCGUUUGUGCCGAAGCGUGAGUGACGGUAAUGGGUAAAGAAGCCCCGGCUAACUACGUG
rnacentral:rRNA from 1 species